UUUAAUAUCAAGUACACCCAACCCCACUGCUAGCAUUGAAAUUAUAGAACCCAAGUAUAUACCACGCCCAGCAUUAGAUAUACUUUUAAACUGGGAGGCUAACCAAAAACCAAAAUUAACUUUUUUUUUUUUUUUUAACAUGCACCAUAAGAAGAAGAGUUCAUAUUUUGUGAGUUUAGUUGGAUCUUUAUUUUUUCCAGAAAAUGUGUAACACAAGAACCUGUGAAGGUAUCUAAGGGCAGGGCUCUGAAUAUCAUUAGCUUUAGAUUUCCCACCCCUAAAUUUAAGCUCAGGUUUCCCUGUUAACUCCUUGUAUGCUAAAAUUAGAUCCCAAUCCGCUGGGUAGUCACAUAAUGAAUCUAAAUAUUCAAUAGUUUUGACAUAUUCAUUAUCAUAAA
rnacentral:lncRNA from 1 species